rnacentral:lncRNA from 1 species
UUAGUUAAUAAGAAUGACAAGACUCUCUGUAACCACAAUUACUCACCAUAUCGUAACUCAUCAUGCAAAUUCUGCUAAUGUGUGAGGUAAAUUAGAUAUUCACCAUAUCUAAAAGGCUGUGACAUUUCAUACCUGUUUUAUCCCCUUCAAAACUGCUUGAACUGUUGAAGGUUUAGAAGUUGCUUUCUCAGCUUCUUUAUUUCCAGUAUUUGAUGUUAGAAGCGGUGUUAAUGGGGAAGAAAUUGGUGUGGUUGAGUCUGCAAGUAAGGUCCUUGAACUAGAGAGCCCCUAAUCAGGAAAAAAAUAGGAAAAGAAGGAAAAAAGCAACAUUUAGAACUAUGAAACAGUUUAACUAAUUUGAAUUUUAUUUAAUAGGAAAAAUGUUCUACAAAUACAGCAUGCAGAGAAGCAGUGAAUAUAUUGUAAUUCAAGAUAACAAAGAGUCACAAACUGUAGCCAUCUAAACUUGCAUAUUUGAAGUGAAGGAUAGCUGUCAAACUGGCUACACAUUCUUGGAAAUGGCUUUUGUAAGAAAACCUAAAAAAUGAUGAAAUGGUGAUUUUAAUUCCUAAUAGAAAACCUGUAAUAUAAGUAUCGUCAUGUAUAUUACAGGAAUUUUAUGUACAGAUGGGUUUAUAAAUAUACCAAUUGGGAAAUAGUUGAUUGCACGACCAUAGAGGAUUAGAAAACGAGUUUAUAUAGAACUAAAACAUGAUAUAUAAAUAGACAGAACCUGUGAAGGUGCUAUAUUUUAAAUAAACAGGCUCACUCAGUUACUGCUUAAGCAAGCACCUGUAACACUUUUUUUUGAUAAGGUAAAGUUUACAAGCACCUGUAACAUUACAAAUAGAAUGUUUUGUAAAAUAGAUAGUAUGCAAUAUGAUAUGUUGUUUCGACUAUGAGAAAUCAAAACAACAAAAGUUUAUUAAAGAAAAACAAAAAAAGGUGGGAUAAAGAUUCACGGCCACAAGGCCACCCCACCUCAAUUCACUAUACAAGGCCACAUACGUAUAUGAAAUAAAUGAUAUUGUAACAUUACCAAAUGCUGUAGAUACUGAUAUAACGGCCUUGAGAUGCCAGAUGAAACUGUAUUCCGCAAGCUU